rnacentral:rRNA from 1 species
CCUACGGGUGGCAGCAGUGGGGAAUAUUGCGCAAUGGGCGAAAGCCUGACGCAGCGACGCCGCGUGAGGGAUGAAGGUCUUCGGAUCGUACACCUCUGUCAGCAGGGAAGAACGGUCACUGUGCUAAUCAGCAGUGAAUUGACGGUACCUGCAAAGGAAGCACCGGCUAACUCCGUGCCAGCAGCCGCGGUAAUACGGAGGGUGCGAGCGUUAAUCGGAAUUACUGGGCGUAAAGCGCUCGUAGGCGGUAUGUCAAGUCAAGGGUGAAAUCCCCGCGCUUAACGUGGGAACUGCCUUUGAAACUGGGAAACUGGAGUGUGUGAGAGGAUAGUGGAAUUCCAGGUGUAGGAGUGAAAUCCGUAGAGAUCUGGAGGAACAUCAGUGGCGAAGGCGACUAUUUGGCACAGAACUGACGCUGAGGUGCGAAAGCGUGGGUAGCAAACAGGAUUAGAUACCCCAGUAGUC